CCCAAGCUACCCAGAUUCAUACUGUUCAUGGGUUCUCAAAGCAAGAAUUCUGAAGUGGUUUGCCAUUCCCAUCAUCCAGGAUGAGAUGGUUGGAUGACAUCACCGACUUGAUGGACAUGAGUUUGAGCAAGCUCCGGGAGUUGGUGAAGGACAGGGAAGCCUGAUGUGCUGCAGUCCAUGGGGUUGCAGAGUCGGGUACAACUGAGUGACUGAACUAACUGACUGACCCAGAUUCAAUUCCUGGGCAGGGAACUAAGAUCUCUCUUUAGGACCGUUCACCGCUGUCUCUCUGAGAUCAAAAUCAUCAGUUUAGAUGGGUACUCAGAUAUUUCAGGUAAAAAACAAAAAACAGUCAACUUUUGAGUAUGCCACCUAAUAUCUGCCCUCACUAGAUACACCGUGUUCGGGCCUCAUCCUUCUGUUAGGUUUUUUUCGUCGCUAUGGGCAACUGGAUCAUGUAGCCCAAAUAUUAAGUGAAUUUCUUAACACAAAUGAUGCACUUUGGAGGUAACCUUUGAGGACUAAACAGAGAAGGACUAAGCUGGGUUAAUUCUGGGCAGAGAGAAGCACGUGUUUUGUGAAGCCAUUCCUGCCUUCUGGAAGGUGACCCUUUUAUUCCCGCUCUACUUUGCACCAAGAUUCCAAGAACCAGGUCUAAAAGGAGAAUGUGGAUUCUGGCUUCCAUGUUCAGGUGACUUUGAGUUUGGGAGAAGACCCAGAAAGAGCCAUGGGAAGUGCAGAAAGUGGGAACUGCUCCUGCUUACCUGGCCAGCUAAGAUGUCCUACUACGGUUAAGACCGAAAUCGCUCAGCAGCCACACGUUUCAAAUUGAGAUGUUUCUACAGAGCUAUGCUGAAGCCCAAUGAGGCACCGGCUUGCAUCUAGAAGUCACUUCUGCAUAUCCUGGGAACACAGAAAUGGUUGGCUGCCAGAGGUGGCAGCACCAACACAGGACUGCUGUCCAGAUCCCGUAACCUGGGACUUGAGAAAUUCCAUCAUGGGCACUCAAGCUUGGUAAACAGCUCCAGCUUUGGAGGCAACAAGGGCAGGUUUGAGUCCCAUAUCUGCCCUUAGCUGUGUGACCUUGAGCAAACCAUUUAAGCUCUUUUGAGUCUGUUUCUUUACCCAUAAUAAUAGUCCCUACAAUAAG
rnacentral:lncRNA from 1 species